rnacentral:RNase_P_RNA from 1 species
GGUAAGGGUGAAACGGUGCGGUAAGAGCGCACCGCGAUCUCGGUAACGAGAUUGGCAGGGUAAACCCCACCGAGAGCAAGACCAGGUAGGAACAUAUUGCCAUUUGGCAAAGGGUGGUUUUCCCCUAUGUUCGGGUAGGUCGCUUGAGGCGUAAGGUAACUUGCGUCCCAGAUGAAUGGCCAUCCUGCCGCAUCGCGGCAGACAGAACCCGGCUUAUAGACCAUCUGGCCUG